rnacentral:rRNA from 1 species
UACGGGGGGGGCAAGCGUUGUUCGGAAUUACUGGGCGUAAAGGGCUCGUAGGUGGCCAACUAAGUCGGACGUGAAAUCCCUCGGCUUAACCGGGGAACUGCGUCCGAUACUGGUUGGCUUGAGUUUGGGAGAGGGAUGCGGAAUUCCAGGUGUAGCGGUGAAAUGCGUUGAUAUCCUAAGGAACACCGGUGGCGAAAGCGGCUCACUGGAUCUCUUCUGACGCUGAGGCACGAAAGCUAGGGUAGCAAACGGG